rnacentral:rRNA from 1 species
ACUGAAUAGAUACCCCGGUAGUCCUAGCUGUAAACGGUGCGCAUUUGCUGUAAACGGAAUCGACCCCGUUUGUGGCGAAAGCUAAACGCGAUAAAUGCGCCGCCUGGGAAGUACGGUCGCAAGAUUAAAACUCAAAGAAAUUGACGGGGGCCUGCACAAGCGGUGGAGUAUGUGGCUUAAUUCGAUGCAACGCGAAGAACCUUACCUGGCCUUGACAUGCAAGUAGUAGAACCAUGAAAGUGGGACGAGCCCGCAAGGGCAGCUUGCACAGGUGCUGCAUGGCUGUCGUCAGCUCGUGUCGUGAGAUGUUUGGGUUUAAGUCCCGCAACGAGCGCAACCCUUGUGUCCUGUUGCCACUCCUUCGAGAGAAGGAAGCACUCUGGACAGACUGCCUCGCUUAAACGAGGAGGAAGGUGGGGAUGACGUCAAGUCAGUAUGGCCCUUACGGCCAGGGCUGCACACGUACUACAAUGCAUGGCACAAAGGGGAAGCUAGACCGUCAGGUGGAGCAAAUCCCAUAAAACC